UACGUAGGGGGCAAGCGUUGUCCGGAUUUAUUGGGCGUAAAGAGCGUGUAGGCGGCCUGACAGGUCUGCUGUGAAAACUCGAGGCUCAACCUCGAGAUGUCGAUGGAAACCGUCUGGCUAGAGUCCGGAAGAGGAGUGUGGAAUUCCUGGUGUAGCGGUGAAAUGCGCAGAUAUCAGGAAGAACACCUAUGGCGAAGGCAGCACUCUGGGACGGUACUGACGCUGAGACGCGAAAGCGUGGGGAGCGAACAGG
rnacentral:rRNA from 1 species